rnacentral:misc_RNA from 1 species
AAGUCGUAACAAGGUUUCCGUAGGUGAACCUGCGGAAGGAUCAUUAUCGUGGGGCCCCGGCCCCGUCGAGAUAGAACCCUUGCCUUUUUCGAGUACCCAACCGUUUCCUCGGCAGGCUCGCCUGCCAGUGGGGACCCAAACCAAACCCUUCCACGCUGUACACGUCUGAGAAACAAACAAAAGUUAAAACUUUCAACAACGGAUCUCUUGGUUCUG